rfam:Peniophora sp. CONT PENSPscaffold_63_Cont110, whole genome shotgun sequence.
GCCGCCUUGGCGUAGUGGUAGCGCGUCCCACUUGUAAUGGGAAGGUCACUAGUUCAAUCCUGGUAGGUGGCA